rnacentral:rRNA from 1 species
UUGAUCCUGGCUCAGGACGAACGCUGGCGGCGCGCCUAACACAUGCAAGUCGAACGAGCGAGAGAGAGCUUGCUUUCUCGAGCGAGUGGCGAACGGGUGAGUAACGCAUGAGGAACCUGCCUCAAAGAGGGGGACAACAGUUGGAAACGACUGCUAAUACCGCAUAAGCCCACAGCUCGGCAUCGAGCAGAGGGAGAAGGAGCAAUCCGCUUUGAGAUGGCCUCGCGUCCGAUUAGCUAGUUGGUGAGGUAAUGGCCCACCAAGGCGACGAUCGGUAGCCGGACUGAGAGGUUGAACGGCCACAUUGGGACUGAGACACGGCCCAGACUCCUACGGGAGGCAGCAGUGGGGAAUAUUGCACAAUGGGGGAAACCCUGAUGCAGCGACGCCGCGUGGAGGAAGAAGGUCUUCGGAUUGUAAACUCCUGUUGUUGAGGAAGAUAAUGACGGUACUCAACAAGGAAGUGACGGCUAACUACGUGCCAGCAGCCGCGGUAAAACGUAGGUCACAAGCGUUGUCCGGAAUUACUGGGUGUAAAGGGAGCGCAGGCGGGAAGACAAGUUGGAAGUGAAAUCUAUGGGCUCAACCCAUAAACUGCUUUCAAAACUGUUUUUCUUGAGUAGUGCAGAGGUAGGCGGAAUUCCCGGUGUAGCGGUGGAAUGCGUAGAUAUCGGGAGGAACACCAGUGGCGAAGGCGGCCUACUGGGCACCAACUGACGCUGAGGCUCGAAAGUGUGGGUAGCAAACAGGAUUAGAUACCCUGGUAGUCCACACCGUAAACGACGAUUACUAGGUGUUGGAGGAUUGACCCCUUCAGUGCCGCAGUUAACACAAUAAGUAAUCCACCUGGGGAGUACGACCGCAAGGUUGAAACUCGAAGGAAUUGACGGGGGCCCGCACAAGCAGUGGAGUAUGUGGUUUAAUUCGACGCAACGCGAAGAACCUUACCAAGUCUUGACAUCCCUUGACGAACAUAGAAAUAUGUUUUCUCUUCGGAGUAAGGAGACAGGUGGUGCAUGGUUGUCGUCAGCUCGUGUCGUGAGAUGUUGGGUUAAGUCCCGCAACGAGCGCAACCCUUACUGUCAGUUACUACGCAAGAGGACUCUGGCAGGACUGCCGUUGACAAAACGGAGGAAGGUGGGGAUGACGUCAAAUCAUCAUGCCCUUUAUGACUUGGGCUACACACGUACUACAAUGGCGUUAAACAAAGAGAAGCAAGACCGCGAGGUGGAGCAAAACUCAGAAACAACGUCCCAGUUCGGACUGCAGGCUGCAACUCGCCUGCACGAAGUCGGAAUUGCUAGUAAUCGUGGAUCAGCAUGCCACGGUGAAUACGUUCCCGGGCCUUG